AGGGCAUGUAAACCCAAAAAUACAUGUUUUUCUUAUACUAUGUAAAAAGUGGCGUAGAAAACGAAUUUGAAAUUAGUUUUGUCCAAUUCGACUUAUUUUAGGAGAAAAUCGGCAUUUUCAACUGAAAUUCCAUUUCCGGUAAAAACAAUAGCGAGAAGUCGUGACGUAAGCGGUGGAACCAAAAUAUUGCGCAACACAUAUUCCCCAGUAGAACUGGUGUGGGAGUUCGUGUAAGUAGCGGUAGUUCUGAAGAUGUUUUUUCAGAAGAUAGCGACUCGAAUGUCUUAAGCUUAGUAAAUGACAGCGCUGGGGAUAAUCCAGAAUCUUCAGGAGAGUCUGGGCCACGUCCUUAACAAUAUGAGCCGCGUAGGGUUCACCGAAGCGAUCCGCACGAAGACAGUACAGAACAUGUCGACAGCGAUGCGACCGUCUCGGAAACUCAGACUGGAAAUUUCGCUAAAUUGCCUACAGAUAGCUUGUUCGUUGGUGUUGGGGAUAUCUCGGCAAACACUUUAGGGUCGCUGUGCUAUCUUGUGCGGUAAACAAUAUCCUUCAUCUCAGAAGCAUUUCCAUCGAUAAACAAGUUGUAUCAUGGUUUCUCAAAGGAAGCACCAAGCGGGGCUGGCUUGGAUUUUCUUAUAGAACAUAAGGGUUGAUUAUGGGAUCCUGCAUAGAAUUCUUUGUA